AUGUUUCAGAAGAUAUCAUAGGCUGCGGUCGAGAAGACGCUCUGGAUGCUUUGAAACAUCAUUCUAUCUUUGUUCUAUAUUCUAUGAGAAUAAAGAUAGAAUGAUGUUUCGGAGCAUUCGUAAUGCAGUCUUGACCGCAGCCAUAAAAAUAACAUAUUCAAGAGGCAGGUUUAACCUAAAAAAUUGUAUGUACUAGUGCUAAUAAAAAUACAUUUUUAUUGAUAGUACAAUACAAUAGAAAUUUAGUGCUUAGAAGUGAAUAGACAUUUAAUGCUUUUAAUAAGUGAGUGCAAUAUAAUAAAAAAUACAACGGUAUGUUUCGCAGAUGGAAAAGAUAUCUUCGGAUUUGAUGAUUUUGAUUAAUUAACCUAGGAAUUAUACUGCGACAUGUACUCGUAUUUUGUUGUUUUUUGGGAUGAAUGGUACAAUACCGGAAUGGUACAAUACCGCUACAAUACCGGAUUCUUGAAUUAUCUUAAAGUCUCAAGUUUUUAAAUGGCCACCCAAAAAUAAGAAUGCUACUAAUGAAAGUAAAAGAGGAACAAAGCCUCAAGAAAAAUGGAUAACAGUUCCAUAUUCCAAAUUAUUAGGACCUUUCGAUACUUUCAAAGAAGCGAGAGAAGUUGAGAACAAUACUUUAGAUAUUUCAACGAAUGAUGAAAAACUUGCGGAAGUGACAAAAAGAAAAAUACUGAGGUUUCACAAAAACGUGCAAUUCAAAAACCAUAUCGUUUUCUUUCUUCCUCUUCCAAUUCUUCUUCUGAGGAAGAAGAGGAAAGUCAAACAAAGACAAAAGCUAUUAAGAGGAAGAGUAGUCAACAUUCAAUGAACCAAACAACAAAUAAAAAUCUAAUAGAGACAACAGAAAAUUCAUGUAAUAAUAAACCUCCAACAAAUUACAAAUCACUAAAUGCAAGAGAAUUUUGUCAUACGUCGAUUAAAGAAUCAUGGAAUGAAAAUGAUUACUAGAUUGCACUAAGGAACAAAUUUUUGAGAAAGACGAA